rnacentral:lncRNA from 1 species
UCUCUCUCUCUCUCUCUCUCUCUUCCUGAAGUUAGAAAACACAAAACACAACACACACAUACACAUUCACACACUCUUCUAAAUCUUUAUUUUCUUUCAUUUAUAAAAUGGAAAAUCAAAAUAUGGGUUUUCCUAAUUCUAGUUUUGUUUUGCUCCACAAUUUUCUCCAAUUUCUCACACCUCCUGAUUAUGGGUUUGUGUGGUGGUCCAGUCAAGAACCAGCUCAUUCCAAUUCUUUCUCUCAAUACCCAAAUGCCAUUUCUCUUGUAACCCAUGUUUCUUUCUUUUCUUUUCUCUCCAUAUUUCAAGAAAGAUUUUGUCUUCCUUUGACAAUUGCUUGGGAACCAAACAAUUCAUGUUCAUCUAAGCUCUCUCACCAACACUGCUUGACAAGGAAAAAGAUCACGGCUUUGUUGCUGUUAAUUGCCACAUUGAAUUUCUG